CUAUACAUGCAAGUCGAGCGGACGUGCGGGAGCUUGCUCCCGUUCGUUAGCGGCGGACGGGUGAGUAACACGUGGGCAACCUGCCUGUAAGACUGGGAUAACUUCGGGAAACCGGAGCUAAUACCGGAUAAUCCAUUCCCUCUCCUGAGGGAAUGCUGAAAGACGGUUUCGGCUGUCACUUACAGAUGGGCCCGCGGCGCAUUAGCUAGUUGGUGGGGUAAUGGCUCACCAAGGCGACGAUGCGUAGCCGACCUGAGAGGGUGAUCGGCCACACUGGGACUGAGACACGGCCCAGACUCCUACGGGAGGCAGCAGUAGGGAAUCUUCCGCAAUGGACGAAAGUCUGACGGAGCAACGCCGCGUGAGUGAUGAAGGUUUUCGGAUCGUAAAACUCUGUUGUCAGGGAAGAACAAGUAUUGGAGUAACUGCCAGUACCUUGACGGUACCUGACCAGAAAGCCACGGCUAACUACGUGCCAGCAGCCGCGGUAAUACGUAGGUGGCAAGCGUUGUCCGGAAUUAUUGGGCGUAAAGCGCGCGCAGGCGGUUUCUUAAGUCUGAUGUGAAAGCCCACGGCUCAACCGUGGAGGGUCAUUGGAAACUGGGAAACUUGAGUGCAGAAGAGGAGAGCGGAAUUCCACGUGUAGCGGUGAAAUGCGUAGAGAUGUGGAGGAACACCAGUGGCGAAGGCGGCUCUCUGGUCUGUAACUGACGCUGAGGCGCGAAAGCGUGGGGAGCGAACAGGAUUAGAUACCCUGGUAGUCCACGCCGUAAACGAUGAGUGCUAAGUGUUAGAGGGUUUCCGCCCUUUAGUGCUGCAGCAAACGCAUUAAGCACUCCGCCUGGGGAGUACGGCCGCAAGGCUGAAACUCAAAGGAAUUGACGGGGGCCCGCACAAGCGGUGGAGCAUGUGGUUUAAUUCGAAGCAACGCGAAGAACCUUACCAGGUCUUGACAUCCUCUGACAAUCCUGGAGACAGGACGUUCCCCUUCGGGGGACAGAGUGACAGGUGGUGCAUGGUUGUCGUCAGCUCGUGUCGUGAGAUGUUGGGUUAAGUCCCGCAACGAGCGCAACCCUUGAUCUUAGUUGCCAGCAUUCAGUUGGGCACUCUAAGGUGACUGCCGGUGACAAACCGGAGGAAGGUGGGGAUGACGUCAAAUCAUCAUUUACCUUAGUACCUGGGCCCCACGCUG
rnacentral:rRNA from 2 species